rnacentral:rRNA from 1 species
GACAGAGGGUGCAAACGUUGUUCGGAAUUACUGGGCGUAAAGCGCGUGUAGGCGGUCUGAAAAGUCAGGUGUGAAAGCCCUGGGCUCAACCCAGGAAGUGCACUUGAAACUGCCAGGCUAGAGUACUGGAGAGGUUGGUGGAAUUCUCGGUGUAGAGGUGAAAUUCGUAGAUAUCGGGAGGAACACCGGUGGCGAAGGCGGCGACCUGGGUCGAGACUGACGCUGAGGCGCGAAAGCGUGGGGAGCAAACAGG